AGCCUUGUGGUGUAUUUGACAUGCCAGCCUGCAAAUCUGGAGAUGCUAGUUAACACUGGCCGGGGCUU
rnacentral:tRNA from 1 species